rnacentral:lncRNA from 1 species
CAGAGACUCACCAGUGCUUGUGAGGAAGUUGACAUUUUUCAUCACACUUUCGGUUCUGGGCUCUGACUCAACAGUGACAAAGCAUGAAGGGAAAGGAAGCUGGACUGUAGACCAUCAACUGAGAAAGAAUACAUCAUCCUACAGUGCCCCCACCUGAUACCCGGUCUAUAAAAAAAAUGGUGAUGGUGAUGAUGAUGACGAUGAUGAUGAUGAUAAUUCUGAGAUAGAAAACAAGAAUGGAUACUGCUGCUUCUUGGUUUUAUGUCUUUAAAAGCAAAAUAAAAUGGCAUUAGUAAACUGGAA